CAUGUCAUUUUAAAACAUUCUCUCACACCGCUUCUUGAUACAAUGGAAACGUAUAUAAAAAUGAUAUCUUAUUCAUUGGAGAAGAAAUAAAAAUAUGUGGUGGUUUUCGUCCCUCUACUCACAUGCCAUAACAACCUGAAAUAUCAAACAAUAUUUUCAUCAAGUUGGUCCAGUUUGGGGAUUUUUUAAAUUUUGUUUAUGACUUGUUAUAAUGAGGUGGUAGUGGAUGAGGACAGCAAUUUUAUCCCUACGGCAAUGCGACAUUAUAAUCAGCAGAAUUGAAGGAGGCCAGCGGUGGUCAGUAAAUAAACAGAACAAAAAAAAAAUACUUAACGAGACAUCAUAGGAAGGUGGUUGUUAUACGGGAAGGAAAUGUUUAACGUUUAUGACGGAGGAAGAGAAUUGUCCCACACUGGUGAGGCUGAUGUAUUUAAUGUUUCAUUUGAAAUGCUGCUGCUUGAUGUCCCACAACUGUAUAGAGGCGAGAGAGAGAGGGGAGGCGGAGGAGGGAAGAACUAUUGAUGGAUCCCACAAUGGUUACUUGGCAACCCAACUAGUGACAGUGGCACAAAAAAAGCACCCCAUACACGCCAUAAAGUGGUUGGCAUCAUGAAGAGUGAUAGAAACCAUGUCAAAGCUGAUAUAGAGCAAAAUGCAACACUAUCAUUCACCAGGUCCUGUUAAACCAUUCACCCAUGCCAUCAUGGAGAAUGGAUGUUGAUGAUGAAGAGGAUGACAAAUACAAGCCAGCCUUUUAAAUAAAAUAAAAUAAAAUGAAAAUAAAGUAGAUAAAAAAAAUAUGAAUAGAAUUUUUUUGCAUAGUAUUCUUUAUUGGAAGACAGAUAUGAGCUUGCAUCAAUGUAAUUGUGGAUGUAAAUGGUAUUAGAUAUGUUUUUAAAAAUUUAAACCAUCUGAAUUUUAUUAAAAAUAGCAAUUUGUCUAUUUCCACCUGCUUUCAAUCCUAACAGUUAUCACCCAUGAGAAACACUGGUUAAAUGAGCCCCACACAGGUUUCCCCAUAAAAACCCACUUCUACCCUAUUUACAUACAGCGGUAAACCAACUAAAAGAUGGUGUAAUAAAGUUAAUAUAA